rnacentral:rRNA from 1 species
UACGUAGGGCGCAAGCGUUAUCCGGAAUUAUUGGGCGUAAAGAGCUCGUAGGCGGUUUGUCGCGUCUGCCGUGAAAGUCCGGGGCUCAACUCCGGAUCUGCGGUGGGUACGGGCAGACUAGAGUGAUGUAGGGGAGACUGGAAUUCCUGGUGUAGCGGUGAAAUGCGCAGAUAUCAGGAGGAACACCAGCGGCGAAGGCGGCGCUCUGGGCUGGAACUGACGCUGAGGAGCGAAAGCGUGGGGAGCAAACAGG